UCCGGCUUAACGCCGGCAGUCUACCUAGAGUGCCCAACUUAAUGGUGGCAACUAAGUACGAGGGUUGCGCUCGUUGCGGGACUUAACCCAACACCUCACGGCACGAGCUGACGACAGCCAUGCAGCACCUGAACCAGCGGUCCCCGAAGGGAAAAUCCUAUUUCUAGGACGAUCCACUGUUGUCUAGUCCAGGUAAGGUGGGGAUGACGUGUCCUUGAUAGG
rnacentral:misc_RNA from 1 species